AGUAACGUCUCUCGUCUCUGACAGCCGGGAAGAAUAACGUAACGUUAGCCAACAAGGAGUUUAGCUCAACGUAAAUGAUGCACGGACUCAAAUUGUACAGGUGUAAAGCCGGGGGCCAAAGGAAGUCUGUUGGUACAAGCGAACAGCAACCGCACUCCUCAAUGUCUGACAUAGGAGGAAGAAACGGCUCAGGAAUCAAUACAGGCACUAAACAACCACACAGGAGACGGAGAGGUUGGGCAAGUGAGAACAUACCCCUACGAAUCUGGGAAGCAAGCUGCAUUUCAUCCUGCACAUCACACUUAUACAGCUCUCCGUGG